UGUGCGCGCACCUCAAGCUGCAAUUGUUAUGGAUGCGUACACACACUCCUAUUUACCCACAUGACUAGUCUGUACAUAGCUAGAUAAGAUAGUUUUCUCCAGAAUGAGGGUACCAGCAGGAAUUUCCACUGAAUACCUGUGUUCAGUAUGGCACACUUGCUUUAUCUCAUCAGAUAUAUGACAGAAUAUGCUGUGUGCAUUACUGAGCAUGCUUUCCUGUUUUGUGGGCUGUAUCCAGGGCUGCCAAGAGAAAUCCUGGGCCCCGGUACAACAACUCCCGGCCCCCCCAGAAUGGGAGUGGUCACAACACGCCGAUUUCACGGACCCGGAUGAUGUCACUUCCGGAAGUACAUCAUUGCUGAAACUGGAAGUGAGGCAGUGAGCCCGGAAGGUGUGACAAACGGGAGCAGGAGGGUUUUCAUGUAUCUAUUGAUGCAACAAUUAAAAAAAACAACAACAACCCAACAACCGGUAUUCUGUGCCGGACAGUCAGAUGGGGGAAAAGUUGGUGGUGACCCUGGCUGUAGCCUCUUCUGCCUAGCCCCAGACUCACCUUAGAAUAUAUGUUACUUUAACUUGCCUAGAGGUCAUAUUAAUGUUAUGCUUUAAUUUUACUUGUUUAUUUCAGGCUGUAUACAUCAAUGCCCUAAAGAUAUUUUCUAACUUUUUGUGUCUCA